rnacentral:rRNA from 1 species
GAUGAACGCUAGCGGCAGGCCUAACACAUGCAAGUCGAGGGGUAACAGGAAAGCUUGCUUUCGCUGACGACCGGCGCACGGGUGCGUAACGCGUAUGCAACUUGCCCUCAACUGGGAAAUAGCCCGGAGAAAUUCGGAUUAAUGUCCCAUAGUAUCACAUCACCGCAUGAUGAUGUGCUUAAAGCUUCGGCGGUUGAGGAUGGGCAUGCGUCCUAUUAGCUUGUUGGUGAGGUAACGGCUCACCAAGGCUGCGAUAGGUAGGGGGCCUGAGAGGGUAAUCCCCCACACUGGUACUGAGACACGGACCAGACUCCUACGGGAGGCAGCAGUGAGGAAUAUUGGUCAAUGGACGAAAGUCUGAACCAGCCAUGCCGCGUGCAGGAUGACGGCCCUACGGGUUGUAAACUGCUUUUAUAAGGGAAUAAACCCCCCGACGUGUCGGGGGCUGAAGGUACCUUACGAAUAAGGAUCGGCUAACUCCGUGCCAGCCGCCGCCGUAACAC